UACGGGGGGGGCAAGCGUUGUUCGGAAUUACUGGGCGUAAAGGGCUCGUAGGCGGCCAACUAAGUCAGACGUGAAAUCCCUCGGCUUAACCGGGGAACUGCGUCUGAUACUGGAUGGCUUGAGGUUGGGAGAGGGAUGCGGAAUUCCAGGUGUAGCGGUGAAAUGCGUAGAUAUCUGGAGGAACAGCGGUGGCGAAAGCGGCUUUCUGGUUUAGACCUGACGCUGAGGCGCGAGAGCAAGGGGAGCAAACAGG
rnacentral:rRNA from 1 species